UAUUAUAUUUUCGUCUUUUAUUUUAAUUUGAACGUAUUAAAUUCUAAAUUUUGAAAAUAAUUACAAGGUAGACCUUAUAUGCAUUUGGUCCAGCCAUUUGAUUUGUAAUAAAGAAAAUAAUGUGUAGGGGACUAAAUAUACAAUAACAGAAUCUGGUCUUACUAGGGCAAGAAUUUCCGCUGAAUUGUUGGUAUGAAGUAAGAUUGGUGGCCUCCUGCACUGGAGCUCGGUGCAGCACCAUCGAAUAGUGCCACUACCGAGUUAAGAUAUCAUUACCUCCGGACUGUCACUUACAAUAAACCGCGUUUAGAAGCUACAAUCGAGGGUAAAAGACUGGGUGGAGAUCCCAAAGGAUCUGUCAGGGGGCAGAAGAUGAUUGCAUUGUUAAAAGUUAUCUGACAGCCCCCAUGACCCAAGGGAGAUUUGGUGUGAUGAUGACUGUUACCAGCCACGUCCUAGGGAGUAUAGAAGGAUCAGUCGUCUACUCAUUGAAUAGAGGCUAGUAGCGCCAAGCUACAAUUGUUUGGUUAAGAGAAAGCGAGUGCGUCACAAGCACCCCCCAUGCUGUAUCAUAUAAACCAGCUUUUCAUUCAUGAAGAAGACGCGUUUAAGCUAUCCAGAACCUAUAUUUUCUCUCUCGACAUACAUAAUGACUACAUUUCUUCCAGUAUCUAACUUGAUUGCGGAGAGCAUGAGAGCAGUUUUUCGAAAAAUGUCGUUCGGCCGGUCUCGCUGUUUUAUGUUGUAGUUAGAGCGUCGUUACGCAGCCAACUGGUUAUCAGAUCCCUUUGCUACCGACAGAAGAACCACGAGGUGUCUAUCUUCGAUUUUCGUUCCAUCAUUCAUCCAAAGCACACAUCCCAAAUAAUGAAUAAAAAAGAAUAACGACUGCAUCGGUAUCUACGAAAAAUAUAUCGGUAGAAGGAAGGUUCAAUCAGAACAAUUAUUUGUGUUUCUGUCUAAUCUGUUAAAAUUUAUUGAUGAAAAUUAAAAGAGGUAGUGUCACGUACAUGACCAAUUGGCAUUUUAAAUUAGUAUAAACAGAAAUUUUUGUCUUUAGUAAUAUUUUUACUGUUUUAUCAAAAAAUAAGUUUUGGCCCCUUGUAACUAGAAUAGUCUAAAAUAUAAAAAAUAUUAUUUAAUUCGAAUAAAAAUUUCACUAAAUACAAAAAUAAAAUCAUUUUUUCCCCCAAAAAAAUCUAAAUAAAUAAUUUUUUCUCUUUAUAUAAUGUGGUGCACGGAACAUAGCUUAUUUUCAUUAAUAGAUUUUAACGAAUGUAGACGUGAGGUCAUAUUGCAACCGUCUCGAAGUUUUUAAGGGUGAUGAUGUGUAAAUCGUGCCUUUUUUUUUUGUUGACGAUCUGAGAUGAUCACCUCGCUUGCUACAAAGACCCAUGUCACAACAAAUUGCCUUGAUCGCCAUAAUUCUCGAAGUCCCCACUGAAUUCCUCGUCCCCCUUCAAGCUUGAUCGUGCCUUGACGAGGUGGCUCACAUCGCCCCGAUGUGUUUUACCUUGCCUUUAUCUUGAGGACCUUGAGACUCCAUCUUCGGCACUCACUCAUACAUCCGCGGUGUUAUUCUCCAUAUGGCAAUUCCUCCUUUUACUUCGCGAUCCUUGUAGAAGGCUUCCAUUAUUGGCAGCCCGAUGAUUACCGCCAUGAUCUUCUCACACGACUCUUCUAUUCUCUAUCUAUAAAAAAGUCGCUCACCUCCAUCAUAUAUAAGGGUAACCACUAUCUCUCUCCUACUGGAGCUUUUAGCAUUGAUAUUCUGCUUGUAUAACUAUUCAUCUCGGUCUCAUCUCCACGCUGGAGGGGUUGUAGUACCCUCACACUAGCCGGAUAACGUUUGUUCUUUGCGCAAGCCACCUAUGAAAUAUACCGACACCUUAGGAGCAAGUUGGACUGUUGGUUGCUCGCCCCCAGAUUUCUAUCACAACAGUAGUUAAUAAAAAUAUAUUCAAUUAAAACUUUGAAAGAUAAAAGUGAAAUCUGAAUAAAAGUUGAAGGUAUAAAAUAAAAUUACCCUUUUAACUUUAUACCUUUUUAAUAUAACUUCUUGAACUUCAUAAAUCAUUCAAUGUGUACAAUAAUUAAACGCCCCACAAGCCUAAAUAAUGGUAGGAUUAAGAAAAAAUAUAAAAUUUAAAUAAAUGGUUUGUAGAUUCACUUGAGUAGUAGAUUUUAUUAUAAUCAAAUAUUAUGAACUAUCCUUGGUCUUCUGAAUUAUUUUCGAGUACAAAUUAUGGGGAACGUAGAUGUGGCUCAAGGAACGGUAGGAACCCAUUCAUAUGGGGUCGUCAAAUGAGAGUUUAGCUUGAUUUUAAAGAUGUUACCCCCGCACUGUUAGCAAUUCUGGGUUCAGUUUCAUGCAAGAACUCUAAAUCACAGCUUUAAUUGGAUUCCGCAGAGAAUGGUGAGAUUGAUCCUCGAAUAAUCGAUAUUAGGUGGAUACGAAUUAUAAAAAAUAAUAAAUGAACUUUAAUUCACUUAACAAGAUUUGAAAGGAUGUGGAUUAGUUCAAAAUCUAAGAGUUCCAAAAAAUGUCAGUAAUUUACACACCAAGAUUUAUUCGAUGACGAAUUUUGUAAAGACAUUUUAUUAUAAGCAAAUAACUACUAGUUUCAAAGAGUUCAACAAUUUGCGUUUGCCAUCUCUUAGAACUCAAAAAAUGAAUUUUUAAAGAACUACUAUUUGUUUCCCAAUGGACCAAAUUAAAAAAAAAGAAAUAAAUGAUUUUAUUAUGCUGUAUAUUUUUGUGUUCUUUAUAUUUUCUUUAGCCUCCACAAAUCAAGAUAUCCUACGUACAAUAAAAACAAGAUAAAUGGUAUCAUAGGAGAGAGAGUCAUUCCGACCAAGAGGAUGUGAGUGGUACUCACCUGGACUAUAAAAGUAUCGUAAAACUCCUUGGUCUGAAGUUCGUUCUUGCGCCCCGUACUAGCAAUUUUUGUAUUAGGUCAAUCUAUAGAAAGAGUUUGUUCCGCUUGUAAUAAGCAUCUAUUUGCAAAUUGCAUAAUUGAUCUUUGAAUAAUUAAGUCAAGUUCAAAUAAACCAUACCUAGUAUCAAAAAGGUGAGGAUGAAGCCAAGGCUUAGCCAGUGAUAAGGGCCAAGUCUUACCAAGACUUCGAUCGGGUUCAAGUUUCACAAUUCAGCCUCCAGACAUAUAGCGUGGUAUAAAGGAUGAGAAUCGGGAGCGAGUUAACACUCAGAGGUCCCGCUUUCGAUUCCGGACUGUUACGUUAUAUAACCCUUUACAUCCUGAAUGAACUGUGAAAGGCUAGCUGUCAAGAUGACAGAGAGUAGUUGGUGGCUGUCAAAAAUACUGACUUAUAAUGCUAGUCUUAAUAUCCCCCCCCCCCCCCCCCCCCCCCCCCAAAAAAAAAGGGCAAGGGUGAGAGACGAGAGGGGUGAGGUCAUCCGCUUCAAGACACACAAGAUGAAAAACAGAAUCGUUAUAAUGAUUGGUGUCUUGGCCUUUGAGGAGAGUUAGUACACGUGGAUGUCAACGUGAUCCAGUUGGUAUAUAAGGCAGUACUCCUUUUAUAUUUUAUAAUGGAUCCAAUGUAAGAUACUCUAUCUUAUUAAGUGUGCGUCAAUGAGGCGAGUACUGUCCUUUGUGCAAUUUGGUUCGACAUUUACGUUUUCUUUUUUGGAUAUUUUUUAGGUGUCUCGAUAUGUGUGUCUACCAUUCAAAAGAAAUAUGAAAAAUAGAAAAAUGUUAAACCAUCACAGACGAGCGGUGUUGAAAGAAAAAAUUGUAUUAAACUAUCAUAAAAAUUUCAAAAUCUCCAUUUAGUGAAAAAGUAUCUCAAUAUAUAUGAAAAGUAUAUUUAACGUUAUACAUAGAGAAUCUAUCUCAUUGUGGUUUUUUGUCUUCGCAUCGCUUAACCAAUUCUUGAUUGACGAUUACGAUCUCGUUUCCUGUGCGAAUAUGAGUAACGUAUAAAAUUUUUACAAACUAAAAAAUUAUUAAGCUAUUAUAUUUGUACAUUAUGAUUCAUAUGUGCAGCAUAUUCAAAAAUUCUAUGUAUAUAUUUGGUUUAACGAUGUGAUCUAUUAUUUGACGUGGAAGGAAUUCAUUACGUUGAUAUAAUUGAUUAUUUUUUUUAGAACAACACCAAAAUUAUAAAUAGUUGUCCUUAUUUGCAACUGAUGCUAGGUUAUGAGUUUUUUGAAUUAAGUUCUAAGAAUCUUACAUAGCAAAAUAAAAAAUAAACAUAUUGUAAUAAUACAAAAUAUCGAAUAGAGUAGUUGAAGAAGUCAAGAAGUCAUGAUUUGCCUUAAGCGUGUGUGUGCUAAUGCUUUGAAUCUGUUGAGCGCUAUUUGAAUGGGCGUUGAGAGGGUAUAUAUUGAGUGGAAACCCCAUUUGAGGACUUCCAAACAAGGCGAAAUUCGGGUGCCAAUGGAGAAAAACAAUCGUGAACUGUUUUUACCUCAUUGAGCUCGCCGAAUUCGAUAGAAUAAUGACCCACCCCAAUGCUGCUACUACCGCCUGUGAGCCCGAUUCUCCAUGCUCCAUGACAAUAAUACAAAAGUUUCGUGAUCGUGGGCAGGCGGGAGACCCCUUCCGCUUAGGAAAAUUCUUUAGCCACGACAAUUCUUGGGCAAAUAUAUGCCCUCCUCAGCUGAGCGGCCCGGGAAAGUCCAGAUUCGCUAACUGAUUAGCUGCCAAGUUAGUCCACCACUCGUAUGGUCUCCAACGGAGAAAUAAGCAACUUCGUCAAAACGAGCUUGUAUUUUGAUGAAUUCUAAAGCCCAUAAAUGACAUUGAUAUCGCAAAAGAUGAUAGUUCAGAGUAUCAGUGAUUUUAAAAAUUGCAAUGAAAAUGAUACAGAUGAUAAGUAAAUAUUAUUCCUACCCAUCAAUCACACCAUUGAUGAUUGCAUGUCAUUUAAAAGUGUAAAAAUGUCCAAUAGAACUAUUUACAUGAAGUGUAUGAAUACAAUAUAAAAAAAGUUAAGCUUGAUCUAAUUUGGGACCCAUUUUUUUGGCGUGGAUCGGGUAUUGAAAGGGUGAACCAUGUGUGGAAUGAUUUCUCCUCUGCUAAUAGAUAAAUCUUAGUGUAUCGCUUGCUUAAGAAACGGAAUAAGAGGUGGAAUGAGAAAUUGUUCACCAAAAUACUCCCAUUCAUAUGGAAAAAAGUGGGCGAAGAUGAUAAUUACUACCAUUGCUUGGUUGAAAAAAUGUGGCGAAGAUGAUAAACCACUUUUUUUUUGUUUUUAUUUCACGAGUUUGAAAAACAUGCAAAAUAAAUAUAAUUGCAAAGACGACAAGGAAGAUGAUAAUAAAAAUCUAAGAAUUUAAAAACAAAGUAAAAUUAUUUUAGUUGUCAGAAAGGUUGAAGAUUGACUAUAAUGGCAUGUUUGGCGGCGGAGUGGAGGGGAUAACUUGUAUCCCCGCGAUAAUUUUUUCUCCCCGUGUUGGCUUUAGCAGAUAUGGGGCGGAAUAAUUUAUCCUCCCAGCAGGUGGCUAGGGCGGAUAAUUUUUGGGUGGCUUGAGACCUCCCCCAACUUAACUAAAAGUUAGCCGGGGGAGGAUAAGGGGGUGAGGGAUAAGAAAAAACGUAUAUAAAGAGAAACAAAAUGUAUAAUUUAUAUAUAUUAUAUAUAUAGCGUGAGAAGAAAUAAAAAUAUAUUAUUUUUAAUAUCUAAAUAUUUUUAUUUUGUUUCUCUAUAUGUGUAUUCUUCUUCUUUAUCCCUACCCUUAUCCACUAAUUCUAAAAAGAUCAAAUAAAAUUAAAAAUUAUCUCCUUUAAAAGUUAUUUCCCUCUAAAAUUGAUUCUCCCUCUAAAAGUUAUCCCCUCCCAUAUAUUAUGCCAAAUGAGCCCUAAGGUUUAUAGUUCAAACUUAGUAGUAUCAGUUUUUAUCUUAUCUAUAUAAAAAUGUAGGCUAUGUAGGGUCAGGAGCCAGGGAUAUAGAAGCUGGGAGAGCGACUAAUAAAUCCUCCAACAAACUAGUAGAGUUUUAAAUUAAGAAAAUCCGCUCUUCUCAGUGGGUUCCGAAGCGGGACAAUUGACAUCCCUGCAAUGGAUUGGACCAAUUUCUAUGUCCUUGUCCACAAAUUUUAAAACAAAACAAAAAAACUGUAAACACACACACAAAGAGACUUAUACGCUAUUAUUAGCAUAAACAAAUUCAAAUCACGUAAUGUGAACAUAAAAAAUUAAAAAGAGACUUAUACGCUAAAUACAAUUUUAUUCGUUUAUUUUCGUGUUGUUAAUAUUUGAGGAUGAGUUUACCAAAUAAGUAUAAUAUAAUUAAGAAAAUCCCCAAUUGAAUACAGCCAAUAUAUUGGUAUAGUAAUCCUAAACUUGAAUAUCCAUAUCCGAUUUUAUUUAAACAUACACAUAAUACAUUAAAUAUGUACAAUAUCAAAAAGUGUUUUAUGUUUAAAGUUAGAUUUCUAGGUUGGAUUUCUAUGAUUUUUUUUCUUUUAUAUUAUGCUUAAUGAUCAAUAUUAGUAAUUUUUAUGAUACGUGAUAUUUGUUUUUUUAAGCAUCUAAAUUUCUAAGCCAACAAAAUGUAAAAUCUGAGCGGUGUUUUGGUUAUUUUUCAAAUUAAAUCUAGUAGGAAGUAAUAACAGGUCGGAUUAGACGAGUUCUUACAAAGUUAGAUAUCGAUGAUAAUAAUAAUUCUACAAAAUUGAAAAACAGAAAACCGGACCGAUAAUUUUACAACCACAUCGGAAAACCGUUCUAAUUCUACCAUGCAAAAAGCAAAAUCUUGAUAUUUAAUCCAAAUUUGAAUCAAAAAACCAAAAAAUUAAAAUACAACACCCAAAUAUUACACAUUCGAAUGUUAAAUAUAACCACUAAAUAUAACCAUUAAAACUUAACCAUACCAAAACACAAAUAUUAACAAAAAAUUACUAGUAUGACCCAAAUAACAUAACCACCAAAUAAUUAUGGUUAGAAUUACUUAAUGACCUAUUUAUAUAUUAAAUAAAAAAAUUACAAUUGGAUACAGGACCAACAAAGAGCCUAAAAACUGGAUCAUUUGAACUUUAGAACCAAAACCCAAUUAUACCAAUCUGGUCCGAGUUCCACUAUUGCUCUGUUAUUUAUACACCCCUACCAAUUGGGUAUACCCAAAAAUUACUGGAUCUCCUUAGAGGGAAUGGAAUUACCAAGAUCGGAAGUUAUUGUCAUGGAUCAAAUUUCAAAUAAGGCAUAGUUUGAGAUAAUUAAUUUAGGUUUUGGAAUAGCAAACAAAGACCUAAAAUAUCAUGUCAUACAAAAAUAGAAGUUUCCAAAUUGAAUCGGUAGUUGUAGCAUAGACCAAAAAUUUAAAUGAUGAAUAGACCAAAAAAAAAAUUGAAAUAAAAAGAAAUACGCCUGAAUUUCAAAAGCAAAAUAAAAUAAUUUUAAAUAACUCCCAAAUAAGUAUUAUUUAAUAAUUCCUCCGCCACCCCACCCAUCUCAACUUCACCUCCAAUACUUAACCAUCAUUCUCUCUCUUUCAAAUAUGUAUAAUUUAAAUUCAUGGAUUAAAAAAUCUUUUAAAAAAAAUGUAUUUCAAAAAUGAAAAAAUUUAAAAAUCUAUAAAUUUCAAUUUAAUAAUUUGAAAUUAACGUAUUCAAACGGAGUCUAAUUAGAAUUGUUCUCUAAAUCAGAAACAAAUGAAUUGCCUCCCCAACUGUUUAAAUAUCCUAUUUUUAAAAAUUAUAUUAUUUAAAUACUAAAAUGCUCCACCUGUUUAAAUAUAUUUUAAAUAUAGAUUAUUAUUUGAAUGUCCAAAUUCAACAACAUUUGCUAAUUGUCACGCCCGGUCAAACCAGACCCAGAGCCACGUAAGUAAACAAACGCACAUGUGGAAAAAGUCAAAUAAAAAAAAUGACAAUACACUGUCAUACAUCAGAGUGCGGAAAUAUAUACAAUAUCUAAUUACACUUUCAUAGAUUUAUCAAUUAAACAGCACAAACUGGCAUCCACAUUCCCUCACACUCAGGAUCACCCCGGUACUUGAAAAUCAUUGUUUAUAGUAAAGGUUGAGUUACACAUGAAAGAUUUAACAAUGGACUUGAUGCUUCAAGCAAAACAUGAUACAUAACUAUACUAUGAAAAUAUAUACAAUACAGUAUGAUUUCAUUUAUAUCAAAUAUACUUGUGAUUUCAAUCCUUGAUUCUCAAAAUACAGGUUCCAAAAAUUCAAUUUUCUCACAGGCCAUACUCUAAUAAUUUAGCAUAACACAUUUAGACCAAUACCUAACCAAUUCUUAAUAUGCACUAAGCACGUGAGAUAACCAUCAUGCAACUUUCCGGACUUUCACCGUGGGCUUAUAUGACAUUCCCUCCGCUAUCGUUGCCAUCUAGAUUUCAUUUGUCAACUUCCGGACUUUCACCGUGGGGCUAUGGACAUUCCCUCGUAUCGGUGCCACUAGGACUUUAUUUUGUGCUUAAUCUAAGCCAUCUAAUUCCGUAUAUUUAGUGUGCAUUCCUAAAAAAACAAUUCUCAUUCUCAAUUCAAAUUCCAUUUCUAAACCCAAGUUCAUGUCUUUUUGACUUUUUUAUUUAACAAUCAUUCACAAUAUACAUAAAAAUCACCUUAUCAACCAAUUAGUGUCAAAUAUUUCAUAAGUAUUUAUGAAUUAUUAAUUGACAAUAAAUUGAUAUAAAUCAAAAUUAAUUUCAAAUACAAUUCCAACAUUUCUAUCUUUCAAUUUUCGCAUACAAUAAAUUAUGCUCAUCAAAAACUACAAGUUUUUUAUUUGAAGUUAAACAAAAAAAAAUGUCUCAAUAGACUUUAUAUAAGCUAUACAACAAACCCAAAGUAAACCCAAACAAAACUAACCCCUUACCUCCAAAUAGAAAUUGACACCGUCGGAUAUGAGAUCAGGCUUCAGAUCAUCAUACUAAAUUUUGUAUUGAUCCAAAGUCAUCUCACCGUGAUCUGCACCCCCUCUCUUUCGUGAUCAAAACUUAACCUCACCAAUAAUUUACUCUAUUUCUUUCUCUCUCUCUUCUCUUUCUUUCCUUCUUCCCUCAUCCGAGCCGUCUAAACUCUCCUAUUUAUAGAUUUGAUAAAUUAUAUUUUAUAUAUAAAUAGUAUUAUUUUAUUAUUUUAUUAGUUAUAUUUUUCUUUUUCUUUUUCUUUUUCUUUUCCUUCUUUUUCCUUUCGGCGCACAGUAUUCAAUUAAUAUUUAUAAAAUACACUUCAGCCCCUCUAACCUUUUAAUUACAUUAUUAUCAUCUCAAUUUAAAUUGUUCUCUUUUAAUUUAACCCCACAAGUCAUGAACGCCCCUUCCAAUUUAAACUCAAGACAUCCCAAGCAAAGUCCAAAAAAAUUUUAUAAAUAUAAAAAAUUGAAACCUUACAACCUCCACACUUAAGAAAUUUCGUUCUCGAAAUUAGAUAAAGUACCUGAUUUGUCAAAAGAUCCGGGAUAUUUUGUGCGAAACCUCGAUUCAAGUUCCCAGGUAGCUUACUCUAUGCCAUGAUUGAAGACACAGGAACCUUCCCAAAUGGAUAGUCUUUCUCUCAAAACUUGAUCCUCGGUCCAACACACGAAUUGGUCGUUCCUCAUACGUGGACAUCCCAUUGACGUCAAGAUCUCCCCAAUCCAAAACAUUGGGAAGGAUCGGGCUCAAUAUUUUUGCAACAUGAAAACAUGAAAACAAUUGUGCACAUUGCCAAACCUCGUGGCAAGCAAGAACGGUAGCCACGGCUCCAAUACGAUCAAGAAUCUUCAAACGGUCCAAUGCUCUUGGUGAUAGCUUGCCGCUAUGCCCGAAGCGCAUCAAACCCCUUUCGGAAACCCUCAAGAUACGUGAUCCCCACAACAAAAACUCCAAAAUGGCGUUUCCUCCGAUCGAUAACCUUUUUGACGACUUUGUGUCGUGAGUAAAGUUUUCUAAUCAAUACUACCUUAUCGGUCGUAUCAAGGAACCCAUUCUGACGUUGCAAGUAUUGCUCUCCAACGUCAGUCCAACACACGGGUUAACCUACAUGGUCUUCCGUACAAUACCUCAAAAGGUGCCAUACGAUGCUCGCCUGAGAACUAUUGUUAUAUGGAGAACUCUACAAAUGUAGAUGAUCCUCCCAUGAUCCCCAAAAUCAAGUACGCAUGCUCGAAGCAUGUCCUCCAAAAUCUGAUCGUACGCUCAGACGCCCGUCAGUCUGAGGAGAACGCCGUGCUAUCCUCCAAAUCCGAUCCUAGGGCUAUUUGCAUUCCCUUCUAAAAGAGCGAUUAACGGGAUCUCCAUCCGAAACGAUAGAUACUGGAACCCCAUGAGUCUAACGAUCUCUCGAACAUAACGAACACUGCAAGAUCCUCUGUCCCAGACAUAAUUUGACAAACGGUAGGAAGAAAAUGCGCGGGGGAUUUUUGUCAAACGAUCCACUAUGACCCAAACGGCAUCAUCCCUCUCAAUGAUCUAGGCAACCCGUAACAAGUCCUAGUGAUGUGCUCUCCAUUUCCACUCUGGGCAACUGGUAAUGUUUGUAGCAAACCUGUUGGCUUCUGGUGUUCGGCUUUCACUUGCUGACAAGUCAAACACCUCGAAACGAAAAAGCAACAUCUUUCUUUCAUUCGUCUUCCACCAAAAUUGGCGACACACAGCAUUGAUACUCGUUGUCCCUCCCAGGAUUAAAAAAAAAAGAGAACUGCACCAACAAGGCGACAGACACCCCUCCCUUCCCUUCGUUCUUCUUCCCUCAAAAGAACAAUCGUUUCUACUAGACCAAUGGCUCAAACAAUCUAGACUUAUCUCAAACUCUGAUCCUCAUGUUUAAAACCCAAUCUGUUGGGCCUACAUUUCUAGCAAUGGCGGUCGCAAAUAGUCUUUUUUUUUGCCUCCACAUCUUGCUGUUGUGCCCUCAAUGACCCUACUAAUGAUUUGACGGCUCUGUAGAUAAUGUGAAUAACGUAGCAAACUCGUUCGUCUCGCCGAUAAGUACAUCAUACUCCACUUCGGGAUAUCUUGAAAGAUUUUCCACUCUGAUGGAAAUCGCCAAAACACCAAGCAAUUUCCUACUAAGUGCACGGCCACAACGUUUAGCCCUUUCCGGGAUGAUAUUGUAAUCGAAGUCAGGAGUCUUUCCCAUGUACUCCAUCCAACGACGUUGUCCUCAAGUUCAAUCCUUCUGUGUGAACAGUACUUCAACUCUUGUGGUUGAAACACUUCAAACCGCUCUCCGUACAGUAAUGCCUCCACUCUUUAAAGCAAAUAUACCGCCGCAAGUCCAGUCAUGAGUCGGAUCUUUUGUUCGGUGCGUCUUCUCUAACUGACGAAACAUACGCAAUCACUUCCCAACGCAUCACCACCAACCCAGCCUCACUGGAAGCAUCGCAAUACACUGUCAUACCCAACCCUCGCUCGGGUAUAACAAGAAUUGGUGCCGAAGUCGUCUCUUCUUACUCUUGAAAAGAAUGCUCGCACGCAUCUUUCCAAACAAAACGAAUUCCCUUCCUCGUAAGUCUAGUCUUGGUUGCCGCUAAUCUGAAAAGUUCUCUACAAAUCGCCGGUAGUAACCAGCUAGAACCCAAGAAACUACGAAUUUUCAAUACGGUCCUUCGGUCGUUCCCAAUUCCUCACAACCUCAAUCUUUGAUGAAUCCACAGCUACUCACUCCCCGCCAACGUUACUAAGAAUUUUUUACCUCAGGUAACCAAAACUCGCAUUUGUAGCUUAGCAUACAAGCGAUGUUCUCGCAAAAGCUGCAACCUAUCCUCAAAUGCUCCUCAUGUGCCGUACCGAUGCGAUAGAUCAAGAUGUCGUCCCACGAAUACUACCAUGCGAAACGGUCAAAUUAUGGAUUGAAGAUACGAUUUAUCAAAUCCAUGAAAGUCCUGCUGGCGUAAAAUAUUCGUAAGACCAAACGGCAUCACAGAAACUCAUAAUGCCCCCAUAGCGUGAGCGAAAAGCCGUCUUCGCAAUAUCUCCCUCUUUGAUCCGCAUUGAUGAUAACCGAUCUUAAAUCAAUCUUCGAGAAACAGCCUCGACCUUCAUGGUCAAACAGUCGUCGAUCCUCGGAAGUGGAAUACUUGUUCCUUUAUUGUCACACGAUCCAUCGCCGAUAAUCUACGCAUUCUAAGUGAUCCAUCCUUCUUCUUAAGCAAAUAAACGAACUCCCCACGGUGAUGCGCUAGGUUCGGAUAAAGCCUUUAUCCAAUAAUCUGAAUCUGAAUUUCAGUUCUGCACCGCUGGCCAUUGCAAAACGAUAUGGUGUACCGAUAUGGGCGCAGUACCCGGUAUAAAGAUCAAUGGAAGAAUUCAAUCUCCUGAUGGGUGUUAACUCCAUCAAUCUUCUGGAAAGACAUCUGAAAUUCACAACAACCGGGCAAGGCACACUAAGCGACGCUCACCUCUCGACCAAGCACGCCGAAAAAGAAAAAUUCCAAAUCCCCUUGCCUACGCAAUCAUUUUGUAAACGAAGGGACAAAACCACCACCCUCAAGAUCUCCUUAAAUUGAAAGCGAUCUCCCAUCAGGUGUACAAAAGGUACACGGUGUCGGACACAGUCUAUCUGGCCCGAUUAGCCGUUCCAACCAAUCCAUACCAAAGGAUUACGUCAACGAAGUCUGUUAAUACAAUAAAAUCAAACACGAAACGUCGAUCAUCUAUCUCAACCUCACAAGAUCUACAAACUCUCCUUCAAAGUCGAUCUCCCCCCACUGGAGUUCUAACAAUAAGCACUGAUCUAAUACAUUCAAUCUCUAAUCCCAAGGCCCAAAGCAAAGAUGAUUUGAUAUGAAUGUAAUGUGAUGCGCCCAUGUCGAUGAGAACACGAGCCCACGAUUAAACACUAAGUAAAGUACCUCGCACAACAGAGGUAUCCAAUUGUUGCUCCUGCUGUCCAGCUAUCCCUGACGGUCCCGCUGCUGAUGUUUAUAGCGUAAACCCGUCCUUUCGUCCUCUGACCCUGUUAGCUACCAACCUGUGGUUCUGACUAUUUUGAAGUCUGUGCUGAUGUAAAUGCUGGAGGUAGCCUCGAGGCCUGAAUGACGCGAGUAGGUUGUUGCGAUCCCGUACUCCCUGACUGUUCUCCCUCUGCGUGUCACUGUCCGACUGAAUAUGACCCACCUGACACAUCGAUAUGCAGGUAGGUGCCCCAUGAUUAGUGUAUUGUACCUGUGCCGGGAUGUGAGAUUGUCCCCCCUGCUGGCACUGCCGCUGGCUACCCUGUCGUGGGCAGUCCACUAUACGAUGACCCGGUUGAUGAAACCAAACCAAUCGGCCCUCCCGAAAUUUUGCCCUUCCUCCCAUCACCGACUCUUGGUGACAUCCCCUCACGAGUUCCUCGAGCCCCGCGUGGUCCACGUGCCCAACGAGCUCCCGUAAGUGAUUUCGCACGACCUCCUCGCGUGCGUGUUGCAUGUUUUCCACAAUGCCACAAGAAAAUAAUAAGAUAUCAUACUCAUUUAUGAUUAAGUCAUAACAUUGCAUACCAUAAGAAAUUAAUAACAUGUAUUAUUAACGUCAUGUUAUCCUAUCACUAGAUAGUACACUAACGUUACCCUCUCAAUACUUAGACGUAAACCAAAUGUGGUCUACCAUCCCACGGCUCAUAGGUAUCGAACCUAGAGCUCUGAUACCAUGUUUCACGCCCCGGUCAAACCAAGACCCGCCACGUAGGCAACAACUCACAUAUGGAAAAGUCAAAUAAAACAAUACAAUCACUGUCAUUUACAUGCAGGUGCGGAAAUAAUUACAACAUCUAAUUACACUUUAAUAUGUUUAUCAAUUAAACAGCACAACGGCAUCCACAUGCCUCAAGACUCAUGAUAAACCCUCGGUACCUGAAAAUUAUUGUUUUAAUAGUAAAGGUGAGGUUCCUUGAAAAGAUUUUAACACUGACUUGAUGCUUCAAGCCAAAACUCCAUUAGACAUACCUAUCUAUCAAACCUGGAUACAUAAAGUAUGCUUUCAUUAUAUCAAAAAUAUACUUUGUUAUUGCAAUCUUUAUUUCUCAAUCACAGGUUUCUAAAAAUUCAACUUUUCUCACAAGGCAUUACUCUAAUAAUUUAUAAUAACACAUUAAGCAAUACCUAACAUCUUAUAUGCACGAAGCACGUGAGAUAACACCCAUCAACUUUCCGGACUCUUCCACGUGGGCUAGAUAUUCCCUCCGUAUCGUUGCCAUCUAGGACUUUCUUUUGCACUUCCCGACUUUCACCGUGGCUUAUGACAUUCCCUCCAUAUCGUUGGCCAUCUAGGCAUUUUCNNNNNNNNNNNNNNNNNNNNNNNNNNNNNNNNNNNNNNNNNNNNNNNNNNNNNNNNNNNNNNNNNNNNNNNNNNNNNNNNNNNNNNNNNNNNNNNNNNNNAGAUAACGUAAACAGAACCACAUUGCUUAGUGCAUGUUUUGUCAAUAGCCCGCAAUCCAAAUGUUGCCUAGACAACUUCCAACUCAAACUUAAAAGUGACCAAGGUAAAAUAUUUACUGGAGAGACAACAAGAAUGGUUAGAAUAGAGCCCCUUUUCUUUUAGAAAUAUUUAUUGCGUUAGAAGCGUUAUGUGACACAAACAACAUUUACUACAUACAACAAUAAGCUGUCCCUUUAAAUUCAUGAUUUAUAAGUACACAAAUAAAUUAACCAGGAAAGGAAAAGAGAUCUUUGUUGGUGAGGAAAUAGAGGUCUUGGUGUAGUACAUUACAUAUGAUUUCUACUAUUUUUUUUUCGUAUUCAUCUUUUGUGAAUAUGUUACUUAGGUUACUUUUUUCUAUGAAAAAUACUAUCUGGAACCUAGGAUCCAAUGAAAUCUUGCGUGGAAAACCGUUCUCCUUCUGAUCUGAUAACCCUCUCUCUGAAAAACUACUAGAAGAGAUAGAAUCAGGAUUACAUCUGGGGUCUUGUUUGGACAGCGUAGAUUUCCCAUCCCUGACAACACCCUCACUGUCUUGAGGACACCAUACAGCUCCUCAAUCGCACUUCCAGCACGGGCAAUGCUAGAAAGGAUUGAUUGACGGAAUUUAGCAUCAACAAUCAACGGGUCGGAUGAAUAACCAAGCACAACCUUUUCUUCUUCAUCCAAUAGUGCACUGCAAAGAGAGAGAGAAGGA
rnacentral:lncRNA from 1 species